rnacentral:lncRNA from 1 species
AGCUUCUUCAUGGGCUUCUCAUGAAGCUGUUACAUCGUCAUCUUUUCUAAACCAUGCACAAGAUUUUAGUUUGGGAUCAAAGCAGCACCAAGGUCUCACUGAAACAAGAAGAAGAGGAGGAAGUUCCCCUCAUAAAGCCAGACAAACAAGAGCUGUGUGAUGAUACUCCAGUAGUGAAAGGAAAUUCUUCAGCGCUUCACUGGAAAAGCUUGCCCGGGGUGCAAAUGGAAGAUUUAAGUCCACGUUCUGGACACAAAAUCAACUCUGUGAGUGGUGACUGUCAGCUGCCGGCUUCACCAAUGCCUUCUCAAAGCAUGUCUGUGGAAGAAACAGCAAGAAAACUGCUGUCUAACUUAAGGGAAAUUCUUCUAUACUUUGUUCCCGAGUUUCAGCUAUCAUCAGAAUUUGAGUGCACAUCUGUGGAAGAACUCAUAACAAAUCCUGAGGUAAGCUGUCUAUUUAGGAACUGGGUGACAGAACAGGUGAACACAGAGGAGGACGUAGAAAGGCUUUCAGUGACUGGAGAUAGAAAUUCCAUAUCAGGUAUGUGAGAAGUCACUGUCAUGACAGGCAAAGCAAGGUAGAGAAGAUCUCGGAGACUGAGACAGUUAGCCAUGACUAUCAUGGAGGACAGCAUGGUAGCAGGAAAGCAAGUGUGGCGUUAGAGCAGUAACUGAGAGCUCACAUUCCGAUCCACAAGCACAAGGCGCAGAGAGCUAACUGGGAAUGGCAUGAGAUUUUGGAAACCUCAGAGUCCACCCCCAGGGACACAUCUCCACCAACAUGGACGUGCCUCUUAAUCCUUCCGAACAGUUCCACCAACUGAGGACCCAAGCAUUCAAACCUGAGCCCAUAGAGGCCAUUCUUGUUCAGAUCACCACAACUCUCUCCUACCAAAUAGAGUUUCUCAUUUCAUCCUCCGUUAUUGAGAUGCUGAGCUAAGGAUUGUGCAGCUCAGCCCUCUGAGGUGUUCAGGGUACUACCCUUUCUAAACCUCAUGGGAAUGAUGAAGACAAAGCAGUCACCAAAGCUCCUCAUGGUGACAGUGCCAUGGAAGAUGGGAGGGACAACUUUGGCCAGCUACCUCAGAUGCAGAGGGUGACUCUCACACCGGCCUUGGUUCAAAUCUCAGGGGAAAGUGCUAACAGGGUUUAGUACCCUCCAGGUGGAGGUGUUGGUAAGUGAGGAGUGCAUGUAGCAGGCCAGUGCAGGGAAGAGACACUCCAGGUAGGACUCUGAGAGGCCCUUCUCGGCCACCAUGGUCAACAUGGACUGUAAGAUUGGCAGGUGCACAAGGAAAGGCUCUCAGUGAAAAGAACACAGGUUACUAAUAGGAUAGAAGUGCCAUGUGCCCAGGAUUUCAUUUCUUCACCUUCUCUCAUCUCAGCCUCUCAUUGGCUUCUACUGCAUUGCUUAGCUGAAGUCCUUCCUGUAGGGGUCACCAGUGAGCUCUGGGCCAAGUGUGGUAGUUGUUUUCUUACCUGACUUCCAGAGAUAUUCAACCCAGGUUUCUGCUUUCUCCCCAGAGUGCUUUCUUCUCAUAGCAUCCAUGACCUCAUGGCUCACUUCCUUGUUUUCUCUACCUCUACCCCAUCAUCAUUACAGUAAUUAUUUCCUGUCUGAAUUCUGGAUGCUACCAUGUCUGAGGCCUUAUUCCUGGACCAUGGUGCUUUCUCUGCUAAAAGCCAUUUCUGGGUGACAUCAACUAAUCUCUUAACUAAUCCUGCUCAAGAUACCUGUGACUCCUAGUCUAUUGCUACCCAAAUAUAUGCCUUCUUCACGCUGCAUUUUGGAUAGUUGUCAUCUGAUUUUCCUUCACCUUGAUUUGUACUAUCUGCAGGCUGCUAAACUAGGCUGAGUUUAUUAUUUAACAUAGGCUACCUUGCUUCUUUAAAGAAAAUAAUAAAUUCAGGUAGGUCAGUUCAGUUAAAUAACUUAAUUCGGCUUAAAAGAUGCCUAGUAGCAGUGUUGGUGGAUUCUAAGCUUGGAUGAUUUUUCAUACUAGAAACAUCAGUGUUCUAACAGUAUUCCAGACAGAUCACUCUGUAAAAUUAAUGUCCUUUUCUGUUAUUGCUUAUGAAAACAGCUGGAGCGAUGCCCAGAGAAUAUAAACGAAAAGCUAAAAACGUGUUUCAACCAGAUCCAGAAUAUCUACAUGGCUCAGUAUGAGAAAAGACUCAAGAGGAAAAUGCAGUCCAUUGUCUAUGAGGCAAACAGAAGGGGCUUACUCAACCAAGUGUUUCUGGGACAGUGUGAACUGAAAAGGAAGAGGACUGAGGAGAAACUCAGUGACCUUCGUGCAAAGCUGGCCUUGCUGCUGCAGAAACUUCAGCUGGUGAGUGACAGGCUGAGGGGCAGCAACAAGCUCUGGGGAAAGAGCCUGGGACUGGAUUUCCCUCCUACCGGUGUGCUUUGCUAACUCACCUUGGGGAAACCGCCUAACCCAGGCCUUGAUGCCAGGAAUGAUACUAAAAUCUUUCUGGCUCAGAUCUGGGCUUGAGGGAUAGUGUGAUAGACUGUUGGGGACAGACAGGCAGAGGACAGAAUGACAGGGCUCUGAAGAAAGUUCAGGCCCUAAUACCACUACAAAGAGGCAAAUGGUGACCGCUAUGAAGAGAGGAAUCAGGCACAUGUGGCCUAGUUGGAGUCUUAUGUUUCUGAGAAAGAACAGCGGUGUGUCACUGCAGGCUUCUUCAGCCCAGCAGGAAAGGGGUUUGGGGUGGGGACAGGAUGUGUGGCUUCCAAUCUACUUUCUUUGGUAAAAACUCAUGGCUCUAAGCAAGAAGUCUAGGGACCUGGAAGUGUGUUAGGUAGUUACAAGCAGUACUCUUAGUAGAGUGCUUGCCCAUGCCUGUGAGGGGAGGGGUUGCUGUAGACACAGAGACCGAGCAGUCUGGUCUGUCUAACCAUACACUGUUACAAUAAAUUAACUUUCAAGGCAUACAUUAGAAUUUUUCUGCACCUCUUUCUCCAAGGAAACACUAGAAUCUUGGCUUGUACCAUGAGUUGAUGAAAAUACCUGGACAAAAGGAGCUUAUGAGAGAAAAGAGUGUGUUUUGGUUUACAGUUCAAGGAUGUGGUCUAUCAUGAAAGUCAGAGCUCAGGAGCUUGAAGCUGGCCACAUUGCACCUGCAGUCAAGGAUAGAAAGCAAUGAAUAUAUUCUACUACUUAGGCCCUUUAUCCUCUUACAUUGUCCAGACCCACAGUGCACACAGUUGGAGCGUCUGUCUACCUCAUUUAACACAGUCAAGAUAACCUUCCAUAGGCAUGCCCAGAGCCCUAUUAACUAAGUAAUUCUAGAUCCAAUCAAUCAGUCUCUCAAUAACAUGUGUCCAAUAGAUAAUAAUUUCCAACUUUUUCAGGAAGUGAAAUAUUUUAAUGCAAUUUUAUUUUAUAUAAAAAUAAAAAUAAAAUUUUCUUAAUCUCAGAGGGAGGAGUUAAAGCAAAACAAAAGCCAGGGAAACAUCAUAAAUCUAAAUUAUUGUCACUUUUGCUUGAAUGCUUCCAUGAUGAAUUAAGUAAUGGGUACUGGUCCAUCUUCUUUUAUUGGUAUACUUUCACUGUACAUAGUGAUGAGUUUUAUAAAUACAUUUUCUUUCUAGUAUAUUGUUGGGAACAAAAUAAAAAAGGGGUAACCUGGGGCCCUGGGGAAUAACGGAAAGGAAAAGAUGCCCACACCCCGCCAGAGUUUCCCUAUUCUCUGGUCAGUCAGGUGUGGGAGGGCUACUAUCUACCCUAUCUACUCAUCCCUAGGUGGGCAUUCCUCUAUCCGACUCUUCAGGGGGUAGUCAAGAGGCAGCCCUGCCUGGGGACCCCCCCCCCCCCAGCUACUUUGCUAAAGCUACCAGGGUUGUGGGAGAGAGGGAAGAGGAAAGAAGUUCCCAACACUGACCAGAGUACGCAGUGGAACUUGAAGGAGCAGAACAGAGACUCUAUGGUUUUAGAGCUUUAUUAUAGAAAUGCAGGGGAAAGAGAGAAGGUAGAAAGGAGGAAGAGAGAGAGAGAGAAAAG